rnacentral:rRNA from 1 species
UUCCGGUUGAUCCCGCCGGACCUGACUGCUAUCGGAUUGAUACUAAGCCAUGCGAGUCUUUGCAGUAAUGCAAGGCAUACGGCUCAGUAACACGUAGUCAACUUACCCUAUGGACGAGGAUAAUCUCGGGAAACUGAGCAUAAUACUCGAUAGAUCAUAAUGCCUGGAAUGGUUUAUGGUUGAAAUGAUUCGUCGCCAUAGGAUGGGACUGCGGCCUAUCAGCUUGUUGGUGAGGUAAUGGCCCACCAGGGCGAUUACAGGUACGGGCUCUGAGAGGAGAAGCCCGGAGAUGGGUACUGAGACAAGGACCCAGGCCCUAUGGGGCGCAGCAGGCGAGAAAACUUUGCAAUGUGCGAAAGCACGACAAGGUUAAUCCGAGUGAUUUCUGCUAAAGAAAUCUUUUGCAAGUCAUAAAACCACUAGUGAAUAAGGGGUGGGCAAGUUCUGGUGUCAGCCGCCGCGGUAAAACCAGCACCUCAAGUGGUCAGGAGGAUUAUUGGGCCUAAAGCAUCCGUAGCCGGCUCUGUAAGUUUUCGGUUAAAUCCAUGUGCUCAACGCAUGGGCUGCCGAAAAUACUGCAUAGCUAGGGAGUGGGAGAGGUAGACGGUACUCGGUAGGAAGGGGUAAAAUCCUUUGAUCUAUCGAUGACCACCUGUGGCGAAGGCGGUCUACCAGAACACGUUCGACGGUGAGGGAUGAAAGCUGGGGGAGCAAACCGGAUUAGAUACCCGGGUAGUCCCAGCCGUAAACGAUGCAGACUCGAUGAUGCAUUGGCAUAUAGCCAGUGCAGUGUCGCAGGGAAGCCGUUAAGUCUGCCGCCUGGGAAGUACGUACGCAAGUAUGAAACUUAAAGGAAUUGGCGGGGGAGCACCACAAGGGGUGAAGCCUGCGGUUCAAUUGGAAUCAACGCCGGA